rnacentral:lncRNA from 1 species
GGAUCAGAUCAGGUCAGAGAAAAAACAAUGGUUAAAAAAAUAACUUGUCACUAGGGUAAGAAUAACAUGCAUAAUGCAUUUUUUAAUGUCCUGAUAAACUGAGCUGUAUAUUUGUUUCAUAACUCCCCAGCUUCCACAGCAAAAAUAGAGAACUGAUAAUUAUCACUAUUUUUAUUCUUUAUGGUUGCUCAGGGGGAAAAUUUUUAAAGGGGACAUUACUGGAAUAAGGUUACCCUUCUGUCACUCACAUUUGAUUACUCAUAGACUUUUCUAUUUGAAGACGCAUUAAGGAAAAUUUUCCUUGCAAACAAAUGUUGUCAAAUGAAUUGACCAACAUGCAUACCUGCCAAGUGCCCAGCAUCCUCAAGUACCUAUAGGACAUUAACUCCAGUAGCCUGUGUAGCAAAGUAGAAUAAAAAUAAAGUUACUGGGAAUUCAGGAUUGAUAAUAUCUCUGAUUUGUAUAUUUCUGCAGCAGUCAGUCUCUUUCAAAAUAUGGGAACAGCAAGUUAAAAUAAACUGUCUUAUUGGCAGAACAGAGUGUGAUCAUGAGAUACUAUUCAGCUUUUAUGCUGAUUCAUCAGCUCACAGUGAAACGAGCUUGCAUGAGAGCAUCCCAGGACCACUGAACAUUCAGAGGUCUAUUUCUGGCAUCUCUUUCCACAGCACAGGCAGCCUUGCAGAAUGAAAAGUAUUUCUCCCACCUGCCCUGGCCUCUGCCCUGGCUCUGAAAGAGGCAGGCUGUGAAUGAUGGUUGUCAGUGUCUGGAGUUUUCACUGAAAAACAGUCCCCUGAAAUGGAAAGACACACAGAGGGGAGUGAUCUCAUCGCCACUGAUUUUUCCCAACUUUCAGUUUUGUAUCUCCAUGGUGGAACUCGAUACAGCAGCAUCCCUCAGUGGUUCCAGCCCAGAAGUGCAAGGGGAAGCCGGCUGCCUGUUCAUGAAUUCUGUAGCUCAAAAAGCAGAGGCCGAGAAAGCAAAAUUUCAAACCUUUGUCAGAAAGGGUGAGACCUUGCUCAGCACGAUAGCUGAGAACAGCUUCCUCCUUCAAUGCUGGUCUCUCUAUACUGACAGUUGACAGCUGAUGAUCCCACAUUCUCAGUCAUGCGAAUGACCUCACCUGAGCACCAGUUUGUAACGGAUGUUUAAGAGGAAAGCAAGGGAAUUAAAUGCUGCACAGGAAUUUGGCACUUCUGUAUAGAAAUAGAAAAACUAAAUGAAACUUAUAGUACCUUCCACUCAACUAAGAUUCUUGUGAAGCAAAGUAUAUCUGGGAAAAUAUAGUAAUAUGGUUAUUUUGUGUUCAUAGUGUGUGACUCUACUUAUAAGCACUUUUUAAUCAUUAUAAUCAAUCACUUUAAAGAUCUUAGAGGGAACUUAUUAAUCAAAAUUUAAGCCUUCUUUAAAAAAAAAAAACUUCCCAUAUACUAAUUUUGCACAGAAGCAAAAGAUUAGAUUGGGAUUCUGCCUGUUGUGGAGAGACAAAGACAAGAGUGCUCCAGAUUUCUGUGUUUGUGUUUUUACUUCAUACUUUCAAUGCGUCCGCAAGAAUAGACUUGUGUUUCUCUUCUUAAUACACAAUGGUUAGAGCUCACAGAAUGUAAGUAAGAGAUUCUUUGAAUUGCACAAUAAGCCAAGGAACUUUCCCAGCUACCGGGAGGCUGAGGUGGGAGGAUUGCUUGACCCCAGUGGGUGGAGAUUGCAGUGAGCAGAGAACACAUCACUGUCACUCUAGCUUGAGUCACAGAGCAGGACCUUGUCUCAAAAAGCAAACAAAAAGCUGGGUGCAGCAGCUCAUGCCUGUAAUCCCAGUGCUUUGGGAGGCUGAUGUGGGAGGAUCACUUCAGACCAGAAGUUCGAGGCCAGCCUGGCCAACAAGGUAAAACCCUGUCUCUACUGAAAAUACAAAAAAUUAGCCAGGUGUAGAGUGGCACAUGUCUGUAAUCCCAGCUACUCAUGAGGCUGAGGCACCAGGAUCACUUGAACUGAGAAGGCAAAGGGUGCAAAGAAACAAACAAACAAAACAC